UCCCCUUCGGNGGACAGAGUGACAGGUNCCUGCAUGGUUGUCGUCAGCUCGUGUCGUGAGAUGUUGGGUUAAGUCCCGCAACGAGCGCAACCCUUGAUCUUAGUUGCCAGCAUUUAGUUGGGCACUCUAAGGUGACUGCCGGUGACAAACCGGAGGAAGGUGGGGAUGACGUCAAAUCAUCAUGCCCCUUAUGACCUGGGCUACACACGUGCUACAAUGGAUGGUACAAAGGGCUGCAAGACCGCGAGGUCAAGCCAAUCCCAUAAAACCAUUCUCAGUUCGGAUUGUNUNCUGCAACUCGCCUACAUGAAGCUGGAAUCGCUAGUAAUCGCGGAUCAGCAUGCCGCGGUGAAUACNUUCCCGGGCCUUGUACACACCGCCCGUCACACCACGAGAGUUUGUAACACCC
rnacentral:rRNA from 2 species